rnacentral:lncRNA from 13 species
CAGUACCGCAGACCUGGACAACUGAUAGGUGAGGCCCACUACUCACUCUGCGGUCUGUGGAGAACACCAUUCUUCCACAUCAUUCUUCUUGAGAACAUGGGAAAUAAUUGAUCAAGCUCGACUUGUAGUCUGUGCAAGUGUGUGCGAUUCAUUCUGCACAUCAUAAACCAUGAUGACUUAACUGGAUACGAGGAAUUCAUCAUAAACCUGACACCAGAUUAUUGAAGGUGAAUAAUAUGCCCAGAAAUGCAUGAUAAAUCACUUUUACUGACACACAUGAAGUCAAUCAUUCAUCAAGAAUUGAUGAGAUGAAUACCCUGGCCUGAAGUAACUUUUGUUUACUUUUUCGUUUUUAAAUGUGUCAAUAAAAAAAGGUUGAAAGAAUACCUGAGAAAUCAACUCAGUGCCGAGGAGGCCUAAACAGCGACAUCUCACUGACUGUAAAGAAUGAAGACGGAAUGAGGGCAGGAUAUACACUUUGUAAGUAACUGACUUCAUAAUAUGAUGAAACAAUCUUUAUCACACCAUUUACCUUUUGUUUCAACAUCCUGAGCACGAGACAUCAGUUUGUGACUGGUCAUGUGCCUGUCGUGUUCCACCUAGCAUGCCUGCAGUUUAUGUAUAGUGCUUUCACUCAUAUGAUAGAGUGAGUCUUCAGAGAGCAGGGCAGUGAGGGCACAUUCUCCUUGGAUUGGGAGGGAAGCUAGAUAAGACUCAGGCAGGAACAAUUGCUGGAAGCGGAGUGCUGAAAGAGGUCUCACAGAGCGCCUGCUGCAGAAACAACUGGCUAAUACAGAUGAGGUUAUUGAGAAGCUCUUUUGUGAAGACUUCCCAAGAGUAACACCACUGGAUCCUCAGGUUGGCAGCCAAAUUUAGAGCAGUAUUUUUCUUCUCUAAUGAAACCAUUGAAAUGUG